GACGAACGCUGGCGGCGUGCUUAACACAUGCAAGUCGAACGGAAAGGCCCUGCUUUUGUGGGGUGCUCGAGUGGCGAACGGGUGAGUAACACGUGAGUAACCUGCCCUUGACUUUGGGAUAACUUCAGGAAACUGGGGCUAAUACCGGAUAGGAGCUCCUGCUGCAUGGUGGGGGGUGGAAAGUUUCGGCGGUUGGGGAUGGACUCGCGGCUUAUCAGCUUGUUGGUGGGGUAGUGGCGUACCAAGGAUUUGACGGGUAGCCGGCCUGAGAGGGUGACCGGCCACAUUGGGACUGAGAUACGGCCCAGACUGCUACGGGAGGCAGCAGUGGGGAAUAUUGCACAAUGGGCGGAAGCCUGAUGCAGCAACGCCGCGUGCGGGAUGACGGCCUUCGGGUUGUAAACCGCUUUCGCCUGUGACGAAGCGUGAGUGACGGUAAUGGGUAAAGAAGCACCGGCUAACUACGUG
rnacentral:rRNA from 1 species